AGAAGAAGGACGCCUCACACCUGGACAAACUGACCUCCACCUUCAUAAGUAACCUCACUCCAAGCAAAUGGAAAUUAAGGCUGGCCUGAGCACAUUGGCAACCUGACAAAACUGGGACAACAGCGGAAAUGCAUUACGCACCCACAUGGCUCUCCUUCUGCUGAGUGCUAUCUCUUCACUAAUGUCAGAAGGGCAAGGCACAGCCGAUCUCAAGAAGGUCAGAGUGGACAUAAUCUUCAACUACAAGCUUCUCACAGGACUGUCGUUUCUUGUCUGCACACAAGAUCAGAGAGACCCCCACUCAAAAGGAAGGAGACUUUGGAAAGAAACCCAACCAUAGACAGCCUUUCAUCUUUAAGCUUUUGCACCACUGUGUCCUUCACCAGCACCAAAAAUUACAAUGGGAACAUGUUGCUCCAAGUCAUCCAGGCGAAUCUGGAAGGAAUAUUCAGUAGAAAGAUAUUAUUUCAGUUCAUCAAAUGACCUGGUAUCCAUAGAAGACAGUAUACAAAUGAAGUCACACAAUUCAAAUAAAAUCAGGCACAAUCAUGUGAAUUAUAUUAUGACCAGAUGUCCUGAACGUGAAGCAAAGAAUCGUCAUUCUGCCAACAGGGAAACUGUGAUAAUGUUAAAGUUUUCAGAUGGACCAUUACGUGGCCAAUUUGCUUAUGCAGAAAGAAGGGGCUAAUGUGAACAGCAAAAGGAUCAAUGACAAGCUUCUGUGUGAAACACUCCAUUAAGAAAAUGUGAAGAUAAAGACAACAAUUUCCACUAAUUUAUUUUUUUGAGUUUUAUGUAUCACUUAAUUAUAAGACCAGGAAAACAGGACUUUGUUUAUUCUUUCAUUCAUUUAAAUUACAAGAUUAGAACAACUUUGAUUAGAACUGGCCAAAAUAACAUUGAAUCAAGAUUGGAAAUAAAAACUUACUAACAUUUGCGCAAAGUUUUCCCUUAAGUUUGCAAUUGUUCUUGUUGCAGAAUUUGUUUUAAGUAACAGUAGGGAAAUACUGCAUUAGUGUCCUUCAUAAUUUGAGACUGGAGUUGUGUACACACUAGUUGAUCUGAUUUUUUUAUUUUUAUAAGUUCAUUAAAUGUGCACAAAAUAACUAAUUGGAUGUUCAUGAAUUAAAAUGAUACAUUUCUAAAUGUUUUAAGCAUAAACCAGUUGAGUAUGAGAUGUUCUUUUAAAACAGUUCUGACAAUACAAGAAAAUGUGAGUUGGUUUUACUAUUUUUUCAAGACUGAGAACUGUUUCUGCUGCUUCCCAAAAAUGUCACAUUUGUUUUCUGCAAUUUUUAAUAACUUAUAUGAGCCAUCAAUAAUUGUUAUGUUCUGAAAGAUAUAAAAGGUACUAUAAUUCAUACUGCUGGGCAAAUGGUAAUUUCAGCAUGCUGAAUAUCACUAUUAAAUUUCCAAAACAAUGUUGAAAUAUGAAGGAUUUAAAAAAUGCAAAGAUCUUUUCAUUGCAAAGUCAAUAUGUUUUUUAACUAUGUAUUCAUUUUAUAAUCAGAAGCGGCAUAAAGAUGGAGAAUUUUAAGGCAAAAGUCAUUAAAGUGCACCCUAAUAGUUUAUAACAUAUAUAUAACACUGUAGCCCAUUAAUAUUUCAUUAAAUUAAUUAUGAAAAAAAUAUGACAUCAUUUUGGAAUAAUAAAAUAACAUGGUUUAAUAAGUUUAUUGCCGCCACAUGGAUGAGUAUGGCAGAACACUUGUCAUUUUCAGUAAUUUUAUUUUCAUGUAAAAGAGCUAAACACAUAAAGUAGCAUGCUUUAUAGUAAAAGAUCCACACCAACAGGUUUGCUAGACAUCCCAAUUGAACAAAAAUUGUAUUUGGAAAAAGAAAAUCUUAAUUCAUUUUUUAUAUUUAAUAUCUAGUUAAAGAGGCUUGCUAAAUGUUUGUUGACAGCCUGGUGUACCACCUUUUAUGAAUAAAAUGUGUAACUGUCAGCUGAA